UGAGGAAGACUCGAGUUGCCCAGGAGGGAUUGCUUCGGGAGGAUGUUAAUCAGUUCUUCGAGAUAUUAGAGAGACUCAUCUCUGCCCAGCAAGCCAGGGAGGAGAGAAGGGAGUUGUUUGAUCCCCCUCCAGCACUGUCACAGUAUGAGCCACCUCCACACACAGAGGAUCCAGUGCCACCACGGUACAACCUUGCUUCUCCAUCGUAUCUCUGCAUUGCCACAAUAUAAUUCGGUGUCCCCACCAUACAACCCGGUGUUGCCACAGGGCCACCCAAUCCUUCCCUAGCAUAAUCUAGUUCCUCUUUAACAAGACCCAACUCCACCCAUGAUGGACCUAGGCUACGUCAAGAAGUACAAGAGACUUAAUCCAUCUAUUUUUAUAAGGGCAUAUACUUUUGAAGAAGCUGAAUACUAGCUAACAGAGAUAGAGAAGGUCCUUGCGACUCUUGAAAUAGUUCCCGAACAGAAGGUUGUUCUUGUCACUUACAUGUUCAUAGGUCAGGUAGGACGUUGGUGGCAACUGAAGUAGGCUACUCUACCCACCUUAGUCACUUAAGAACAGUUUCU
rnacentral:lncRNA from 1 species